CCGCGACCCCAGGUCAGGCGGGAUCACCCGCUGAGUUUAAGCAUAUCAAU
rnacentral:rRNA from 1 species